GACUCCGUAGCUCAGUUGGUAGAGCAACAGACUCUUAAUCUGUGGGCCCAGGGUUCGACCCCCUGCGGGGUCA
rnacentral:tRNA from 1 species